UUAAGUUCAGCGGGUAUCCCUACCUGAUCCGAGGUCAAAAUUGUGAAGAUAGCUUCUGGGAGCCAAUACGAAGACACCGAGUUCGCGUUUCUGCUGCGCUCGAAGCCAAUGUACCGGCCGCCAAUAAUUUUGAGGCGAGUCCGCCGAGAGGCGGACAGUCACCCAACACAAGCUGAGCUUGAAGGUUUAAAUGACGCUCG
rnacentral:misc_RNA from 1 species